rnacentral:rRNA from 1 species
GAUGAACGCUGGCGGCGUGCCUAAUACAUGCAAGUCGAGCGAACGGACGAGAAGCUUGCUUCUCUGAUGUUAGCGGCGGACGGGUGAGUAACACGUGGAUAACCUACCUAUAAGACUGGGAUAACUUCGGGAAACCGUAGCUAAUACCGGAUAAUAUUUUGAACCGCAUGGUUCAAAAGUGAAAGACGGUCUUGCUGUCACUUAUAGAUGGAUCCGCGCUGCAUUAGCUAGUUGGUAAGGUAACGGCUUACCAAGGCAACGAUGCAUAGCCGACCUGAGAGGGUGAUCGGCCACACUGGAACUGAGACGCGGUCCAGACUCCUACGGGAGGCAGCAGUAGGGAAUCGUCCGCAAUGGGCGAAAGCCUGACGGAGCAACGCCGCGUGAGUGAUGAAGGUCUUCGGAUCGUAAAACUCUGUUAUUAGGGAAGAACAUAUGUGUAAGUAACUGUGCACAUCUUGACGGUACCUAAUCAGAAAGCCACGGCUAACUACGUG